rnacentral:misc_RNA from 1 species
AAGUCGUAACAAGGUUUCCGUAGGUGAACCUGCGGAAGGAUCAUUAACGAAAUUAUGACUGAGGUUGCAGCUGGCGCCCCCAAACGGGGUGCAUGUGCUCGCCUCUUUCACAAUCCACACACACCUGUGCACCUUUGCGUGAGUCCGGGAAACCGGGCUCGCGUCCUUUUCACAAACCCUUUUGUAUGUUAUCAGAAUGUCAUCAUUGAUGUAUUUAAACGCAUCUAAUACAACUUUCAACAACGGAUCUCUUGGCUCUC